UAUAGCCUUUUAUUCAUUAGGGUUUCUUUUAGAGAAAAUUAGUGAGAACUUGUCUCUCCAUUUUCUCUCUAGGAGGCCGGCCCCUUGGGGGGUGCAUCUUGCAAUCCCACUACUCUAAGGUCACUCAUUUCUUCUCCAAUCUCUCCUUGGUGAAGAGACUUAGCGGUUCUCAAUUUUGGGAACUUGGAGAAACCUAUUCUUCCAUCCAAAUCCAUAGAUUUAAGA
rnacentral:lncRNA from 1 species